rnacentral:rRNA from 1 species
ACUCCUACGGGAGGCAGCAGUAGGGAAUCUUCCACAAUGGGCGAAAGCCUGAUGGAGCAACGCCGCGUGGGUGAAGAAGGUCUUCGGAUCGUAAAACCCUGUUGUUAGAGAAGAAAGUGCGUGAGAGUAACUGUUCACGUUUCGACGGUAUCUAACCAGAAAGCCACGGCUAACUACGUGCCAGCAGCCGCGGUAAUACGUAGGUGGCAAGCGUUAUCCGGAUUUAUUGGGCGUAAAGGGAACGCAGGCGGUUCUUUUAAGUCUGAUGUGAAAGCCUUCGGCUUAACCGGAGUAGUGCAUUGGAAACUGGGAGACUUGAGUGCAGAAGAGGAGAGUGGAACUCCAUGUGUAGCGGUGAAAUGCGUAGAUAUAUGGAAGAACACCAGUGGCGAAAGCGGCUCUCUGGUCUGUAACUGACGCUGAGGUUCGAAAGCGU